CGUGCGCAGAAAAAGGUCGGCAUAAAAAGAUCAGGGCGCAUGUGCUGAUUGUUGACUCGAUUGCGCAAUCGCAAAAAGAAAACACGUUUAAAGGUCCGGCAGGGGGCGGCACGUGUAGGUGCGGCACAGGUACUGCGCUUUAAGACGCUCCCGCCCACGAAGCGAAUAUCGUUUUUGGUGUGCGGCGCGGGGGAAAAAAAAAGUCAUAGUAGAGAAAUAUGGAAACGCUGCUCCCGUAGAAGACUGCACGUUGCUGCUGCCCGCCGAGCCGGCUGCUCUGCUUGCCGCUGUUUUCUGCCUUUUCAGAACGGGGUUCCCGUUCAUGUCGGGGGCGGCAGGGACGUGCGCUCGCCGCUGGAAAGGAGGUGACGGGAGGCAGGGGAGCAGCGCGAGAGGAGGAAGAGGAGGAGAGGACUGGGAGAAAGUGUCGGUGUCCGCGAGACUGGCGGCUGCGACAGACCCACCGAGAGGGGCGGGAGCCCCGAGGAAGGCGAGAAGCUCAGGACCGAGCCGGCUGAAGCUCGAUCGGCUCUGCUGGGCCAUGGGGGCGACCCCGCUGCUACCUCUUCUGGUGCUCUCUGCGAGGGUGGGGGGAGAGGGAGGGAAGGAGGGCGGCACUUUCAGACAACUGCAGGAUGCGAUCUGUGCCCCCCACUUUUUGAUGUAGUCCAAUUAUAGCGAAGGACACUGGACAGCUUUUCUCAGUGGAGCCUGUUGGCGGGUUAACAUUCAGGGGACUCAGGUAUUUGUCUCCUCUUCUGUGACGCCUCUCGGAUUGCCUCCGUGCAUGCCCGAUGCAGGCUUUCCGGGAUAAUCCUGCUAUGCGUGGUGCUUAUAGAGUGCACAAAUAUAAAACUGCGAGUUAAGGACUCCUUUUUU